rnacentral:misc_RNA from 1 species
GAAACCAACAGAUCCACGGGAUCAAACACCUCCAAUUAUAGAAUCAGUCAUACAUCAGCUCUUAACUUGUGAGUUCAAGUUUAAUGUAUCUCUCAAUCACAGGGGUUUAAAUGCUGAGGUUCUAUGUAGUAACUUUGCAUAAUCUCUACCCAUGGGGGGGAAUCCUAUUGUCACCCCACCUUCUAUAUGUGCAAUUCCAAGAACUAUACCCUAAUCCUUUACAAAAAAGAUGUUUGGGAGCACUUUCAUUCUCCUUCACAAAAUUUAAGCCCUCUCCCAUUGAAGAAAAUGAUCACAUUAUGUUUCACCUAGAACGCAAGGUAUGCAAGGAGGAUUUGUUGCUUGGUCUUUUGGCGUGAUUUUCUGCAGGCACUCGUC